CCUCUGGAUUCUUCUUCACAGUUUUCAACACCCUCGCAACUUAUCGCUGUAAUGGAUCAGUUAAACGUUAAUUGUCGGGGCAGAGUUAAGAGCAGCAGAGCACACAGCGCUGGUAGGACUCGGACCGAGAUCGUGCGUUGGAAUUAACUGAAAUAUUCGAAGGAGAGGAGUGCAACAAGAGUUGAUGUAAGUGAGAAUGAUAGGGGAUGUGACCAAGCAAUUUGAUACGAUGGUGUGAAAAUUCAUCCUCAGGAAUUACGAUUCAACGCGCGUGUGGAGUUUGGUUGUGAGAUGGAAGGUAGCACAAGGUGCUGAUAGAUCAAGCGCUUUGCAGAGUAGCCGAGUGAGAAAGGUCAACUUCUUGUAAGUACUCUGAAAAGGACGAUUUGGAUCGGAGCUCUUAGGGUGCGCAAGGGAUUCGUGAAAUUUGAGUGUUAUAUUCCUGAUAAUGGUUGCGGUUAUAAGUUGCGGUGGUUUUUAUGCGCAUUUGCAAAAGGCGGCCUAUCUCCGAUUUUGAUUUUGAAACGGUCGUCCUUGGCGGCCGUAGUUAUGUUCAGGCAUGCUAGUUUGGAGGUCGUCUGAAUUUUUUGAGCCAGUUGUGGCGGUUUGUGUUGUGCCUUGGGAGGGGUGGCCAGGGCAGUGCACUACCGCUUUCCUUGUGGAGACAUUUUAGCGUCAUUUGGAGGCUGGAUGAAUUUAUUUUGGGCCCUUCUCUCCCUGAUUUUGUUUGUUCAUAUUGUCUCUCUCUAAGGAUGGACCAUCGUAGAAUGCAUUAAUUUUAGUACAAUCAAUUACGAACAGAAGACCUUGGGGAAAGAGGAUAUGAAAAAUGGAUAGCUCUUCUGCAGACACCGGGGGGGACAAGCCUAGGGUUUUGAAAUCUGCCACUCUUUUAUCGCGAGGGUUGGGUUCAAGUGGUGAAGGGGCUGGAUUUCGUGGCCAAUCUGGACCUGCUCAUGUCAACAUGGCAAACGGUGGUUCGGGUCCACAGAAGGACUACAGCUUGCACGGAACACAACUGAAUAGGAAAGAAGGGGCAUUCGCAGAUCACAUCAAUCUAAACGAAAGGCGAGAGGAGCUACAGCCGAGCUUGCACGCCAGAGAUGUUGAAGGGCGAGUAGCAGGGUUUGGAGGAGGCCCGUCAGGGGUGGGUGCGCACAUAUCUGGAGAAAAUCCCAUUAAGCGCGACGAAGAAGGAAACCAUGAGGAUGAUGGGAAAGGCGGAGCUGCUGAUGAGUUACCAGGCGAUGAAGCAAAUGUGAGCUCAUGUUCACCUCUUCCAUUUGGGAGGCAAGAGGCAAAAGUUGUACCCUUGGAGUCCAUUCAUUCAAAGGCCAAGGGCGUGGAGAUUAUUGCUGAUGGUUCAGCUUUGAAAUCGGCAAACAAUUCAAAGAACGAAGCUUCCGGAGCAUCUGCGUCAGUGCAAAUUGCAUCUGAAACGACAGAAAGAAAUGGACCUCCGUUGUCUCAGGCAGUUGGAGAUGAAGACGCUACCGUCGGUCCUCCUCCAUCACAUGCACCUGGGGAUGAUGCAGAUACAGCUGGACCUCCCCGACCUCCAGCGGCAGCUGAUGAAGCCACGGUAGUACCGUCUCCCAAGCAAGGGAAGGGUCAGAAACAGAAGCCUACUUUGAAGAAGCCUGAUAAACUGGCUCCGUGUCCGAGAUGCGACAGUUUAGACACAAAAUUUUGCUACUACAACAAUUAUAACGUCAAUCAACCACGCCAUUUCUGCAAGAAUUGUCAAAGAUAUUGGACAGCCGGAGGUAUCUUACGGAAUGUUCCCGUGGGAGCAGGGAGAAGGAAAAUCAAACACAGCAGCUCGCAUCCACGCCAUGGAGCGGUGCCUGAUAUUCCUGCGGUAAGGCUAGACUCCUUAGAUAUGGCGCAGCUGAGGCCCUGUCUUUCACGGGGAUCGUCUGUUCCACACCAAGUUUCUCCCCUGCUUACCUGUAAUGCCAGCAGUCCCAGUAAUCUCAAUAGCCUUCUCAAUAGGCAAGAGAGGGGCUCCUCUGAAGCUAUUACUCAAACCAGGUCCAUGCAUGUUGCUGAGGCCGUGAGAAGACAUUACAUUUCAGCAGAAUCUCAGGUGAAUAUUGCUAGUGAUUCUGGGAACAGGUUGCUCCAUGCUGAACACAGCGACGGUUGCGAACCUGUAUUAGCUUGUGAGGCUGAGAAGGAUGACUGCGUGGAGGCCUGUACAAGUUCGGCAACUGGUUCUCCUUCUCGAACGAAUGUAACACCGCCUACUCAAGAAGCGCAAUCGAUGCUGAGAGGUCCUCCCACGACACUUAUUCCUGUUUGUGGGGGUGUUGUUCGACCAGUAGGAAUUUUGGACGGGUCAGUCUGGACUGCGGCGCCCUCUCCUUUUGGACUUUUCAAUGGUUCGUGGCCUUAUGGCUACAACGUUGGGUGGAGUGGUCCAGCCCCAGGCGCCCCAGGCCCUCCAAUUUGUCCGCCUGGAGGCACCUUAGUUUCCUGCCAGCCUGCAGUUACAUGGUCGUCACCUCCGAAUGGUAUUUGGUCAGGAAUCUGCUGGGGAUCAACUCUCAUUCCAGGGAUGCCCACGGGGAUGCCUGGGCCGCCUUGGAUGUCGCCUGGAUGGGGUGGGGGUUGGCCCAUACCUUGGGGCCCGGACGCAGCAGCAGCUGCUGCGGCAGCAUCAGCAUCGGCUUCCUUUCAGACUGCUUCAGCUCCUAUGUCUGGAAGCGGCUUUCCCCCUGUUCAGAGCAGGUUACCUAUUCGUCCGGUGCUGAAUAAACACCCACGAGAUCGGCCAGACCUAGAUAGGGUGGAGAGUUCACUUUGGCUUCCAAAGAUGGUGAAGGUAGACGAUUCUGGGAGUGCUCCACGAAGCUCUGUUUGGACUGCUGUGGGAGCUGAGAAUCGGGUGGAGACUGUCGUAUCUGGUAGUAAUUUUAAGGCGUUUCUUCCAGUGGCAGACAGCAAAGCAUCUGACACAUCAUAGGAAGCAAGUGAAAUCAUGACAACCCAGCUGCUGUCAACAUACUUGUUUCCUCUAAAAUAAACACAUUCUCCAGAUGGCUGGUGUGGCUUUUGGCUUUGAACUUGUACAUAGAUAGCGAGAAUAACCAUGAACCGGUUCAUUUGACGAGGUUUUUCUUUUCAUGGCACUUGUAUGGUUCGGUAAUGCUGUGCUGGUAUUUGCACCGAACUGCUCGAAGUUCAUGGCUUUUCUAUGGCCGGCGUACCAUUGAUCAACACUUUUACCUACGGUUCAUCAUAUGCCUGUGCAUAUCCAUUGUAAUAAGGGCUGUCUUGUUCCUUGUGAUGUGUGGAACAAGGACGCCUCAAGAGUUUAAUUCACAACAGGGGCAUGUUGGAAUUUUAUUUUUAAGAAUAAACCAAAGAAAAAAACAGAAAACUCGUGAUACACAUGACGGACAAACUGGUUUCAUCUGGAACUUUCCGUGGUAGACAGGUCAUUUAGAUUAUUCCAAGCGAAGAAAGGUGGUUUUCGAUCUCGCCCUAAUCCUACCUUGUCGUUGCGGCGCUUCCCCAACCGGCCUCCGGAAUUCAGGUCGCAGCGGCUACACAUCGACCGGCGAGUGACGCGCGAGCUGUUCACAAUCCAAACCUUCUCGAAUGAAUUCUCGUGUGCUACAGACGUGAUUUCCUUCAAGCCCUUCUGCAUCUUGCCUCGUGAUUGCGAGGGCAGAGCAGGAUUUGAUGAUCCAUGGUUUGAACAAGAGCUCGCAAUCAGAAAUAGGGUUAACUCUUACUGCUGUGCCUUGUACACCACGAAUGUUCGGAUCUCUACACAAGGGAAUUACCCAAACCAGCUGUCUGCUCAUUGCGCGAUCUUAAGCAACGAGACGAAUCGAGCAGUGACAAAUUCAAACAACGAUAACCGUUUGAAAACAGGGGAUUGUUUUGGCGAUGACGAAAGUCUUCGUGGGAAGCCCACCACACAUCAUUCGAAAACCUAUAAAUCAUUUGUUUACAACAUGAGAGUCUUGGUGCUUCAGGACCACAAAUCGAAAAAAAAAGUUAAUAUUAAAACAUUCCAAUAAAAAAAACAUGGAACUAAGUAUUUCCAACCAUCCAUCAUUUGUAUGUUAAGGAGUCAUUCAAUAAAUAGUACAAACCUUUUAACCAUGAUAA